GGAGUUUGAUCCUGGCUCAGGAUGAACGCUAGCGACAGGCCUAACACAUGCAAGUCGAGGGGCAUCGGGGCGAGGAGCAAUCCUUGCCGCCGGCGACCGGCGCACGGGUGAGUAACGCGUAUGCGACCUGCCCGUUGCAGGGGGAUAAUCGGGAGAAAUCCCGUCUAAUACCGCGUAAUGCCGCGGGGCUGCAUGGCCCUGCGGCCAAAGGAAGCGAUUCCGGCAACGGAUGGGCAUGCGUGACAUUAGCUAGUUGGCGGGGCAACGGCCCACCAAGGCGACGAUGUCUAGGGGUUCUGAGAGGAAGGUCCCCCACACUGGUACUGAAACACGGACCAGACUCCUACGGGAGGCAGCAGUGAGGAAUAUUGGUCAAUGGGCGCGAGCCUGAACCAGCCAAGUCGCGUGAGGGAUGACGGCCCUACGGGUUGUAAACCUCUUUUGUCGGGGAGCAAAUUCCGCCACGUGUGGCGGAGUCGAGAGUACCCGAAGAAAAAGCAUCGGCUAACUCCGUGCCAGCAGCCGCGGUAAUACGGAGGAUGCGAGCGUUAUCCGGAUUUAUUGGGUUUAAAGGGUGCGUAGGCGGACUGUCAAGUCAGCGGUAAAAUACGGGGGCUCAACCUCCGCCCGCCGUUGAAACUGACGGUCUUGAGUGGGCGAGAAGUAUGCGGAAUGCGUGGUGUAGCGGUGAAAUGCAUAGAUAUCACGCAGAACUCCGAUUGCGAAGGCAGCAUACCGGCGCCCAACUGACGCUGAAGCACGAAAGCGUGGGUAUCGAACAGGAUUAGAUACCCUGGUAGUCCACGCAGUAAACGAUGAAUACUAGCUGUCCGGGGCGAAUGAGCCCUGGGUGGCACAGCGAAAGCGUUAAGUAUUCCACCUGGGGAGUACGCCGGCAACGGUGAAACUCAAAGGAAUUGACGGGGGCCCGCACAAGCGGAGGAACAUGUGGUUUAAUUCGAUGAUACGCGAGGAACCUUACCCGGGCUCAAACGACACAGGAACGUACCUGAAAGGGUUCGGCUCUACGGAGCCUGUGUCGAGGUGCUGCAUGGUUGUCGUCAGCUCGUGCCGUGAGGUGUCGGCUUAAGUGCCAUAACGAGCGCAACCCCCAUCGACAGUUGCUAACAGGUCAGGCUGAGGACUCUGUCGAGACUGCCGGCGCAAGCUGCGAGGAAGGCGGGGAUGACGUCAAAUCAGCACGGCCCUUACGUCCGGGGCGACACACGUGUUACAAUGGCAGGUACAGCGGGAAGCCACCUGGCGACAGGGAGCGGAACCCGAAAGCCUGUCUCAGUUCGGAUUGGAGUCUGCAACCCGACUCCAUGAAGCUGGAUUCGCUAGUAAUCGCGCAUCAGCCACGGCGCGGUGAAUACGUUCCCGGGCCUUGUACACACCGCCCGUCAAGCCAUGGAAGCCGGGGGUGCCUGAAGUGCGCUGCCGCGAGGAGCGCCCUAGGGUAAAACCGGUGACUGGGGCUAAGUCGUAACAAGGUAGC
rnacentral:rRNA from 1 species